CUUAAUAAAAGUAGGGGAAGAUGGGUAUAGUUGUAACAUUUUUAUAAUUUUUUAUCCUGUUCCUUCUCGGUGAUUAUAUAUAAAGCAAAAUAUAUUAUUGUUUAGUAGGCCCACUCGUCAGUUACAUCGAGGCACAGAAUCACCCUUUCACCUAUAGCAGUUUAUGAGUUACAAAGCAAAAACUAAAGCUUGCUGAUUGUUACAACCUACCCCAUACACGGGUACAGCUGUAACGUCAAGUAGGGAAAGUUGUAAGAAACCUAUACAAAGACAGAAGACUCAGAAAAAGUGGUCUCACAAAGAUUUUUAUUUAAAAAAUUGCAAAAGAAACAUUAAUGACAAAAACACAGAUAUUAAGGACUCAGUGGUUUGGAUUAAAGCUUAUCAAUAAUGUAGUCCUACACACUGUCACUCAUCUCACUCUCGCAGUUCUAGCAAAUAAAUGUAGCAUUCACAAGGUCUUGGGACACAGGCGAUAUGUGCCCACUGCCUGCAUUCUUGGCACUGCACCUAUUUUUCCUUGGGUUUGCUGUUGCUGUAGGUGUCUUAACCCA
rnacentral:lncRNA from 1 species